rnacentral:misc_RNA from 1 species
CUUGAACCCUUCCACACUCAUCAGUCAGCACACCAGAAAAGGUGCUUCCAAAAUCAGUGUCCAGCUCAAUGACCUCCAUGUUUGUUGCUCUGUACCGUGGAACAUCAGAGGAUCCAAUAUUCACAGCAGCAGAAGGAUUAGUCACGAUUGAUUUCCUUGAGGUUGCCUGCAGGCUUCUACUCAAUCCCACUAGAAACACUGAAUCUCCACGACGAAGAG